rnacentral:rRNA from 1 species
CGGACGGGUGAGUAACACGUGGAUAACCUACCUAUAAGACUGGGAUAACUUCGGGAAACCGGAGCUAAUACCGGAUAAUAUUUUGAACCGCAUUGUUCAAAAGUGAAAGACGGUCUUGCUGUCACUUAUAGAUGGAUCCGCGCUGCAUUAGCUAGUUGGUAAGGUAACGGCUUACCAAGGCAACGAUGCAUAGCCGACCUGAGAGGGUGAUCGGCCACACUGGAACUGAGACACGGUCCAG